rnacentral:tRNA from 1 species
CUGGGGUUGUAGCUCAGUGGCAGAGCACUUGCCUAGCACGUGUGAGGCACUGGGUUCGAUCCUCAGACCACAUA